GAGCAGAUGAGGAGUCCCAUACUAGGACGAAACGGUCGUCCAGUGC
rfam:Schistosoma haematobium scaffold636_4, whole genome shotgun sequence.